GGCCUACCAUGGUGGUAACGGGUAACGGGGUGUUAGGGCACGACACCGGAGAGGGUGCCUGAGAAACGGCUACCACAUCCAAGGAUGGCAGCAGGCGCGCAAAUUACCCAAUCCCGACACGGGGAGGUAGUGACAAUAAAUAACAAUACGGGGUUCUUUAGGAUCUCGUAAUUGGAAUGAGUACAAUUUAAAUCUCUUAACGAGGAACAAUUGGAGGGCAAGUCUGGUGCCAGCAGCCGCGGUAAUUCCAGCUCCAAUAGCGUAUAUUAAAGUUGUUGCAGUUAAAAAGCUCGUAGUUGAAUUUCGAGACCGGCUUACUGGUCGUGCUAUUGUACGUACUGGUAUAAUCGGUUUCUCCUUUCUGACGAACUAUAAUGCCAUUAAUUUGGUGUUUUAGGGAAUCAGGACUGUUACUUUGAAAAAAUUAGAGUGUUUAAAGCAGGCAUUCGCUUGAAUACAUUAGCAUGGAAUAAUGAAAUAGGACGUUUGAUCUUAUUUUGUUGGUUUCUAAGAUCGACGUAAUGAUUAAUAGGGAUAGUUGGGGGCAUUCGUAUUCAAUUGUCAGAGGUGAAAUUCUUGGAUUUAUUGAAGACGGACUACUGCGAAAGCAUUUGCCAAGGAUGUUUUCAUUAAUCAAUAACGAAAGUUGGGGGAUCGAAGACGAUCAGAUACCGUCGUAGUCUCAACCAUAAACUAUGCCGACUGGGAAUCGGGCGAUGUUAUUUUUCGUGACUCGCUCGGCGCCCCGAG
rnacentral:rRNA from 1 species